CCUGCAUGAAGUUGGAAUUGCUAGUAAUCGCGGAUCAGCAUGCCGCGGUGAAUACGUUCCCGGGCCUUGUACACACCGCCCGUCACACCAUGAGAGCUGCGAACACCCAAAGCCGGUAGCCUAACCGCAAGGAGGGCGCUGUCUAAGGUGGGCGUGGUAAUUGGGGUGAAGUCGUAACAAGGUAUC
rnacentral:rRNA from 1 species